CGUACACUCCUGCGGGAGGCAGCAGUGGGGAAUUUUGGACAAUGGGCGAAAGCCUGAUCCAGCCAUGCCGCGUGCAGGAUGAAGGCCUUCGGGUUGUAAACUGCUUUUGUACGGAACGAAACGGCCUUUUCUAAUAAAGAGGGCUAAUGACGGUACCGUAAGAAUAAGCACCGGCUAACUACGUGCCAGCAGCCGCGGUAAUACGUAGGGUGCAAGCGUUAAUCGGAAUUACUGGGCGUAAAGCGUGCGCAGGCGGUUAUGUAAGACAGUUGUGAAAUCCCCGGGCUCAACCUGGGAACUGCAUCUGUGACUGCAUAGCUAGAGUACGGUAGAGGGGGAUGGAAUUCCGCGUGGAGCAGUGAAAUGCGUAGAUAUGCGGAGGAACACCGAUGGCGAAGGCAAUCCCCUGGACCUGUACUGACGCUCAUGCACGAAAGCGUGGGGAGCAAACAGGAUUAGAUACCCCAGUAGUCCC
rnacentral:rRNA from 1 species